rnacentral:rRNA from 1 species
GACGAACGCUGGCGGCGUGCUUAACACAUGCAAGUCGAACGAAGUGGAGAACGGGUGAGUAAGGCGUCAUCAACCUGCCCUUCCGAGGGGGACAACAGUUGGAAACGACUGCUAAUACCGCAUACUGAAGGCGGGGCUUGCGUCUGCUUAGCUAGUUGGUGGGGUAACGGCUCACCACGGCAACGAUACAUAGCCGACCUGUGAGGGGGAUCGGCCACACUGGGACUGAGACACGGCCCAGACUCCUGCGGGAGGCAGCAGUGGGGAAUUUUGGACAAUGGGCGCAAGCCUGAUCCAGCCAUGCCGCGUGUCUGAAGAAGGCCUUCGGGUUGUAAAGGACUUUUGUCAGGGAAGCGGUACCUGAAGAAUAAGCACCGGCUAACUACGUGCCAGCAGCCGCGGUAAUAC